GAAGAGGAGCCCACAGGAAAGAAAUGCAGGCGAGGUUGAGAAUAAAGGCUGCUCCCAGGUAUGACUGCUACCUCGGUAAGAUGGAAGACAAAAUUGACAAGGCAAAUUUCAUGGAUGAGUUAGUAAAGAAGAAGUAAAACUGCAAGAGGUCAUAUUUGUAAAAUAAGCCUGAUGAAACAGUUCCCGAUAUGGACUCCUCUGGGUACCUGUGGAAAUGUAAUCGCUUUCCUUGUCAGUUUUCUCAAAAGAGUGCCAAGUACAUGCAGAAGAAUGAAACUCGACCAUUCUCAUACACGGUACACAAA